GUGUGUGUGAGAGAGAUUGUGCGCGUGCUGGUGAGAGUGUGUGCUGUUGUUGGAGUGAAUGUGAUUAAAAUCUACACACUGAUCUUAUUUGAUCUGGUCUGAGUCGGGCUCUGCUCUGAUCGGAGAUGAUAGGACACGGACUCGUGAGUCUUUGGGGCGGUGAUCGAGUCCCGGUUUGACCGUCAGGGCCUCCGAGCUUCGAGCUGUGGUCAGAGGUGAUGAAUUGAUCAGAUAUACUAGUCCUGAGAGUUUAGCUUCGUGUUAAACUCCGGAUGGACGGUGAGUCAAGAAGCGAUUCUGAUCUAA